rnacentral:rRNA from 1 species
CGUAGGUGGCAAGCGUUAUCCGGAAUUAUUGGGCGUAAAAGCGCGCGUAGGCGGUUUUUUAAGUCUGGUGUGAAAGCCCACGGCUCAACCGUGGAGGGUCAUUGGAAACUGGAAAAACUUGAGUGCAGAAGAGAAAAAGUGGAAUUCCAUGUGUAGCGGUGAAAUGCGCAGAGAUAUGGAGGAACACCAGUGGCGAAGGCGACUUUUCUGGUCUGUAACUGACGCUGAUGUGCGAAAGCGUGGGGGAUCAAACAGGAUU